UACGUAGGGGGCAAGCGUUGUCCGGAUUUAUUGGGCGUAAAGAGCGUGUAGGCGGCCGCACAGGUCCGUUGUGAAAACUGGAGGCUUAACCUUCAGACGUCGAUGGAAACCGUGCGGCUAGAGUCCGGAAGAGGAGAGUGGAAUUCCUGGUGUAGCGGUGAAAUGCGCAGAUAUCAGGAAGAACACCCGUGGCGAAGGCGGGUCUCUGGGCCGAUACUGACGCUGAGGAGCGAAAGCGUGGGGAGCGAACAGG
rnacentral:rRNA from 1 species